rnacentral:rRNA from 1 species
GGGUUGUGAGGUUAAGCGACUAAGCGUACACGGUGGAUGCCCUGGCAGUCAGAGGCGAUGAAGGACGUGCUAAUCUGCGAUAAGCGUCGGUAAGGUGAUAUGAACCGUUAUAACCGGCGAUUUCCGAAUGGGGAAACCCAGUGUGUUUCGACACACUAUCAUUAACUGAAUCCAUAGGUUAAUGAGGCGAACCGGGGGAACUGAAACAUCUAAGUACCCCGAGGAAAAGAAAUCAACCGAGAUUCCCCCAGUAGCGGCGAGCGAACGGGGAGGAGCCCAGAGUCUGAAUCAGUGUGUGUGUUAGUGGAAGCGUCUGGAAAGGCGCGCGAUACAGGGUGACAGCCCCGUACACAAAAAUGCACAUACUGUGAGCUCGAUGAGUAGGGCGGGACACGUGGUAUCCUGUCUGAAUAUGGGGGGACCAUCCUCCAAGGCUAAAUACUCCUGACUGACCGAUAGUGAACCAGUACCGUGAGGGAAAGGCGAAAAGAACCCCGGCGAGGGGAGUGAAAAAGAACCUGAAACCGUGUACGUACAAGCAGUGGGAGCACGCUUAGGCGUGUGACUGCGUACCUUUUGUAUAAUGGGUCAGCGACUUAUAUUCUGUAGCAAGGUUAACCGAAUAGGGGAGCCGAAGGGAAACCGAGUCUUAACUGGGCGUUAAGUUGCAGGGUAUAGACCCGAAACCCGGUGAUCUAGCCAUGGGCAGGUUGAAGGUUGGGUAACACUAACUGGAGGACCGAACCGACUAAUGUUGAAAAAUUAGCGGAUGACUUGUGGCUGGGGGUGAAAGGCCAAUCAAACCGGGAGAUAGCUGGUUCUCCCCGAAAGCUAUUUAGGUAGCGCCUCGUGAACUCAUCUCCGGGGGUAGAGCACUGUUUCGGCAAGGGGGUCAUCCCGACUUACCAACCCGAUGCAAACUGCGAAUACCGGAGAAUGUUAUCACGGGAGACACACGGCGGGUGCUAACGUCCGUCGUGAAGAGGGAAACAACCCAGACCGCCAGCUAAGGUCCCAAAGUCAUGGUUAAGUGGGAAACGAUGUGGGAAGGCCCAGACAGCCAGGAUGUUGGCUUAGAAGCAGCCAUCAUUUAAAGAAAGCGUAAUAGCUCACUGGUCGAGUCGGCCUGCGCGGAAGAUGUAACGGGGCUAAACCAUGCACCGAAGCUGCGGCAGCGACGCUUAUGCGUUGUUGGGUAGGGGAGCGUUCUGUAAGCCUGCGAAGGUGUGCUGUGAGGCAUGCUGGAGGUAUCAGAAGUGCGAAUGCUGACAUAAGUAACGAUAAAGCGGGUGAAAAGCCCGCUCGCCGGAAGACCAAGGGUUCCUGUCCAACGUUAAUCGGGGCAGGGUGAGUCGACCCCUAAGGCGAGGCCGAAAGGCGUAGUCGAUGGGAAACAGGUUAAUAUUCCUGUACUUGGUGUUACUGCGAAGGGGGGACGGAGAAGGCUAUGUUGGCCGGGCGACGGUUGUCCCGGUUUAAGCGUGUAGGCUGGUUUUCCAGGCAAAUCCGGAAAAUCAAGGCUGAGGCGUGAUGACGAGGCACUACGGUGCUGAAGCAACAAAUGCCCUGCUUCCAGGAAAAGCCUCUAAGCAUCAGGUAACAUCAAAUCGUACCCCAAACCGACACAGGUGGUCAGGUAGAGAAUACCAAGGCGCUUGAGAGAACUCGGGUGAAGGAACUAGGCAAAAUGGUGCCGUAACUUCGGGAGAAGGCACGCUGAUAUGUAGGUGAAGCGACUUGCUCGUGGAGCUGAAAUCAGUCGAAGAUACCAGCUGGCUGCAACUGUUUAUUAAAAACACAGCACUGUGCAAACACGAAAGUGGACGUAUACGGUGUGACGCCUGCCCGGUGCCGGAAGGUUAAUUGAUGGGGUCAGCGCAAGCGAAGCUCUUGAUCGAAGCCCCGGUAAACGGCGGCCGUAACUAUAACGGUCCUAAGGUAGCGAAAUUCCUUGUCGGGUAAGUUCCGACCUGCACGAAUGGCGUAAUGAUGGCCAGGCUGUCUCCACCCGAGACUCAGUGAAAUUGAACUCGCUGUGAAGAUGCAGUGUACCCGCGGCAAGACGGAAAGACCCCGUGAACCUUUACUAUAGCUUGACACUGAACAUUGAGCCUUGAUGUGUAGGAUAGGUGGGAGGCUUUGAAGUGUGGACGCCAGUCUGCAUGGAGCCGACCUUGAAAUACCACCCUUUAAUGUUUGAUGUUCUAACGUUGACCCGUAAUCCGGGUUGCGGACAGUGUCUGGUGGGUAGUUUGACUGGGGCGGUCUCCUCCUAAAGAGUAACGGAGGAGCACGAAGGUUGGCUAAUCCUGGUCGGACAUCAGGAGGUUAGUGCAAUGGCAUAAGCCAGCUUGACUGCGAGCGUGACGGCGCGAGCAGGUGCGAAAGCAGGUCAUAGUGAUCCGGUGGUUCUGAAUGGAAGGGCCAUCGCUCAACGGAUAAAAGGUACUCCGGGGAUAACAGGCUGAUACCGCCCAAGAGUUCAUAUCGACGGCGGUGUUUGGCACCUCGAUGUCGGCUCAUCACAUCCUGGGGCUGAAGUAGGUCCCAAGGGUAUGGCUGUUCGCCAUUUAAAGUGGUACGCGAGCUGGGUUUAGAACGUCGUGAGACAGUUCGGUCCCUAUCUGCCGUGGGCGCUGGAGAACUGAGGGGGGCUGCUCCUAGUACGAGAGGACCGGAGUGGACGCAUCACUGGUGUUCGGGUUGUCAUGCCAAUGGCACUGCCCGGUAGCUAAAUGCGGAAGAGAUAAGUGCUGAAAGCAUCUAAGCACGAAACUUGCCCCGAGAUGAGUUCUCCCUGACUCCUUGAGAGUCCUGAAGGAACGUUGAAGACGACGACGUUGAUAGGCCGGGUGUGUAAGCGCAGCGAUGCGUUGAGCUAACCGGUACUAAUGAACCGUGAGGCUUAACCUUACAACGCCGAAG